GAGUUUGAUCCUGGCUCAGGACGAACGCUGGCGGCGUGCUUAACACAUGCAAGUCGAGCGAGGUCCAACUGGUGGCAACACCAGGGAAGACCGAGCGGCGAACGGGUGAGUAACACGUGAGCAACCUGUCCCGAAGACCGGGAUAACACCGGGAAACCGGUGCUAAUACCGGAUGUCCCCACCAGGCCACAUGGUUGGGUGAGGAAAAGGCUCCGCUUCGGGAGGGGCUCGCGGGCUAUCAGCUUGUUGGUGGGGUAACGGCCUGCCAAGGCAACGACGGCUAGCUGGUCUGAGAGGACGACCAGCCACACUGGGACUGAGACACGGCCCAGACUCCUACGGGAGGCAGCAGUGGGGAAUCUUGCGCAAUGGGCGAAAGCCUGACGCAGCAACGCCGCGUGGGGGAUGAAGGCUCUCGGGUUGUAAACCCUUUCAGCAGGGACGAAAUUGACGGUACCUGCAGAAGAAGCCCCGGCCAACUACGUGCCAGCCGCCGCAGUAAC
rnacentral:rRNA from 1 species